rnacentral:rRNA from 1 species
GGGAUUUUUCCCCAAUGGGCGCAAGUCUGAUGGAGCACCCCCCGUGGAGUGAAGAAGGGUUUUCGGCUUGUAAAGCUCUUGUUGUUAAAGAAGAACGUGGGUAAGAGUAACUGUUUACCCAGUGACGGUAUUUAACCAGAAAGCCACGGCUUAACUACGUGCCAGCAGCCGCGGUAAUACGUAGGUGGCAAGCGUUAUCCGGAUUUAUUGGGCGUAAAGCGAGCGCAGGCGGUCUUUUAAGUCUAAUGUGAAAGCCUUCGGCUCAACCGAAGAAGUGCAUUGGAAACUGGGAGACUUGAGUGCAGAAGAGGACAGUGGAACUCCAUGUGUAGCGGUGAAAUGCGUAGAUAUAUGGAAGAACACCAGUGGCGAAGGCGGCUGUCUGGUCUGCAACUGACGCUGAGGCUCGAAAGCAUGGGUAGCGAACAGGAUUAGAUACCCUGGUAGUCCAUGCCGUAAACGAUGAUUACUAAGUGUUGGAGGGUUUCCGCCCUUCAGUGCUGCAGCUAACGCAUUAAGUAAUCCGCCUGGGGAGUACGACCGCAAGGUUGAAACUCAAAAGAAUUGACGGGGGCCCGCACAAGCGGUGGAGCAUGUGGUUUAAUUCGAAGCUACGCGAAGAACCUUACCAGGUCUUGACAUCUUCUGACAGUCUAAGAGAUUAGAGGUUCCCUUCGGGGACAGAAUGACAGGUGGUGCAUGGUUGUCGUCAGCUCGUGUCGUGAGAUGUUGGUUAAGUCCCGCAACGAGCGCAACCCUUAUUACUAGUUGCCAGCAUUAAGUUGGGCACUCUAGUGAGACUGCCGGUGACAAACCGGAGGAAGGUGGGGACGACGUCAAAUCAUCAUGCCCCUUAUGACCUGGGCUACACACGUGCUACAAUGGAUGGUACAACGAGUCGCGAGACCGCGAGGUUAAGCUAAUCUCUUAAAACCAUUCUCAGUUCGGACUGUAGGCUGCAACUCGCCUACACGAAGUCGGAAUCGCUAGUAAUCGCGGAUCAGCAUGCCGCGGUGAAUACGUUCCCGGGCCUUGUACACACCGCCCGUCACACCAUGAGAGUUUUAACACCCAAAGCCGGUGGGGUAACCUUUAGGAGCCUAGCCGUCUAA